rnacentral:rRNA from 1 species
GAUGAAUGCUGGCGGCGUGCCUAACACAUGCAAGUCGAGCGGCAGCGAGUUUUACACUGAAUUCUGGAAGCUUCUGAGUAGUACAGAGGAUUUAUUCAAGAGUUUUGUGUAAAAUGUCGGCGAGCGGCGGACGGCUGAGUAACGCGUAGGAAUUUGCCCCAAAGUGAGGAAUAACUGCCCGAAAGGGUAGCUAAUGCCGCAUAUGGUCUUCGGAUUAAAGCCUUCGGGCGCUUUGGGAGAAGCCUGCGUUGGAUUAGGUAGUUGGUAGGGUAAUGGCCUACCAAGCCGACGAUCCAUAGCUGGUCUGAGAGGAUGAUCAGCCAGACUGGAACUGAGACACGGUCCAGACUCCUACGGGAGGCAGCAGUGAGGAAUCUUCCACAAUGGGCGAAAGCCUGAUGGAGCAACGCCGCGUGAAGGAUGAAGGCCUUCGGGUUGUAAACUUCUUUUAUGAGUGAAGAAUAUGACGGUAACUCAUGAAUAAGCACCGGCUAACUACGUG